GACGUAGGGCGCGAGCGUUGUCCGGAUUUAUUGGGCGUAAAGAGCUCGUAGGCGGCUUGUCGCGUCGACUGUGAAAACCCGCGGCUCAACUGUGGGCUUGCAGUCGAUACGGGCAGGCUGGAGUUCGGUAGGGGAGACUGGAAUUCCUGGUGUAGCGGUGAAAUGCGCAGAUAUCAGGAGGAACACCGGUGGCGAAGGCGGGUCUCUGGACGGUAACUGACGCUGGAGAACGCGAAAGCGUGGGGAGCAAACAGG
rnacentral:rRNA from 1 species